rnacentral:rRNA from 1 species
UGCGUAGGCGGCCCUGUGUGUCAGAGGUGAAAUCCCACGGCUCAACCGUGGAAUUGCCUUUGAAACUGCAGGGCUUGAGUCCGAGAGGGGAAGGUGGAAUUCCUGGUGUAACGGUGAAAUGUGCAGAUAUCAGGAAGAACACCCGUGGCGAAGGCGGCCUUCUGGCUCGGAACUGACGCUGGGGCACGAAAGCUAGGGUAUCGAACG